AAAAAAAAAAGUUUCAUCUGAUUUAAAUUAUUAGCACUUAAACAGAUGAAGAAUACUGUUUGAUGCAACUUAAAAAUAAAUUCAUGAGUUAGAAGAUAUUUAUGUUUAACUAAAAUUAAUACAUUUGUAAGAAGAAUGCAACAACAUUCUUAGUGCGAUUUGGCAGAGUUAAGGUUUCACAUCAAGGCAAUUUGUAAAUCGUUAGAUAUUUCUGACCACCUCUGUGGAAAAUAUGCCCAGUAUAAAUGAAGCACUUGAUAAUUUCAUUUCUAAAUUUCCUACACUUUUCUCCAUGAGGUACAAAUUUUCACUUCUGUAUUUGACAUUAUCAAAAUCUAUGAUGGGGAAGACACAUGUUCUAAAUCCAAUUAUGCAUGACCGUUUAACCACAAGAGCCAUCCUAUGCUCUGAAAAUUCUGAAUAUGUUCAUUGUCAUCACACAUCCACUAGGAAAUUUGGGAAUUUCUAUCCUAUGGAUGAGAAAUUACCACAUGGUUGGUAUACAAGAUGCCUUCAUAAAUUCACAAAGAAAAUGACUUUAAAGUAGUCUUAUACAUUGGUUACAUUAUGAAAAAUCUUUCUCUUGAUCCCUGCCUCUCUGUAACUAUCUGCCAAGCAAAAUAAAAAUUAUGAAGGUAUUAAUAAGGUAGAUAGAGAGUUCAAGUCCCAAAGUAAGCUUUUGUGCCUAGGUUCUUAUUUGAUUGACCCCCAUAAUCACAAAACCCCUACUUCUCUUUAUAGCAUGCGGAUGUACUCCGUGGUAACAUAAACUGCUCAGGGAACACGAAAUAAUGCUCAAGGAUACUGACUCAAGGGAAGGAGAAGUUGCAGUCUACUGCUCUAUAUUUAAUUCUGGUAAUUUCCAUGGAAACAGAUCUGUGUAAGAAAUCACUGUGGUGGAACUUCAUAAUAGAGCCUGUUCGAAUUCACUGCCACUAACUGUAAUAUAUUUAGGAAAAAAACAUCAUGAAAGUAUCACCUACUUGAUACAACAAAAUGAAAUCAGUGAGCACAGGGAAAGACAGUAAAUAAUAACUGUGUUCUCUGUCCACCCGGGUACCACUCUCUGUCCCUCUAAUUGAACAUGAUAGUUACAGUGUUGUCCCAAAAUGCAAGUCCACAUAAUGGUGGCUUUUGAUGUGGCUGCUCGGUUGUGGUCAACCGUACAAGUGAAAGGCAAAUUCUACCACAGUGAGAGAGAGAAAAAGAUCUCUGUUGGACUGAAAUGCUCAAGGUGUUCAGAGAGCUGGUGACCGUCACUGCAGCAGGUUGAAACCCCCAGUGGCUGCGGUAUCUCGGUUCACAUCCCAAGCACUGGGCUCACAGCUCCAGACGAAAACUAGGAUACCCUCCUGCCUCACCACGGUAAUAGAAACCAAAAAUAAACGGGGCGGGGGAUUCACUUUAUUUCAGACGAAUAAACGAGGUCGAUUCACAGCUGCUCGAUAGGAAGUCUCAAAAGUGAGUUUCAGCAGACCGAAAAGGCUUCCCUAUUUAUCUAUCGUACAAGUCUGCAAAGUGUGUGAACGACCAGCAAGCCGUCUUCAUUCGUUCCUGCGGAGGCCUCUGCGGUCCCCCGGGCCCCUGCGCGUGGGAGCCUCCCGGGUUCGGAGCCUGGGAGCCGCCAGGGAGCGGGCAGCGCGUUCCCACGCUCGGCCGGGUUGAGAGGCCGCGGUGACCCUGGGGAUCCUUCCCCCAGGGCCGCCCCGCCCCACCCCGCCACCCCCGGCCGGGCUCGGGAGCGUGGGAGCGCGGCAGCGCCGAGGAUGCGCGCCUCGGGCAGGAAGUGGGGGCGCGGCGGGGCGCGGGGACCCUACACUUACUUGAUGUCUUCCCACACCUCAGGGCCGUAGUUGCGGAUCACCAGCAGCUCCAGCGCGUGAUUCACGAAUCCAUACUGCGGGACAGGAAGACCCGAGCGUCAGGGACUGGCUGCGGUGGGAAGGGGAUUGGGGGCCAGGCCGCCGCAGCUGCCGCCACGGCGCCAGGGAACUUAGUACCCUGCCCCCUGCUUCCGCUCUAUUUGGGGUCCAGGUGCUAAGGAGAGGUAGUACAGGGGCGCAACCUCCGCCCCAUUCAGGGGCAGCUUGUCUCCGUCACUGUCCGCCCCAUCCCCAGGCCACCCCCUCCCACGCUCACCUGUACCCGCGCCAAGGCAGGUUGCGCCCCAGGAGAGCCCGGCGGAGG
ensembl:lncRNA